ensembl:lncRNA
CUCAGAUGUAUAGCUUCCAUAGAUAAACUUCCGCCCAUUCAGGAGGCUGCACUCAAGCAAUGACGUCCUUUGCUAUAAGAAGCAGUUUGAUUUCCAGACCAGGACAAGGGACUGAGAGAUAACAAGAGAGAAUCCUCUCCCCCUGCCCCACUCAGCCUCUGCCAGGCAAGCCCUUCCUGCUGGGUCUCCUUGGUGGCAGAUAUGCAGCAGCUCUGUCUGGGGUGACAUGCCAAGCUCUUCCUUUGAUGGGGAGUAAAUGGCUCAGCCUGGACCACAAAGGCCUGCUGCAGAGCAAGUAACAGUGAGGGUGGGUGAGGAGGCUUGUCUCAGUCCCUAAUGGUUUACUUCAGGGAUCAGCCACCCUGCUGUCACCAACACUGUAAACAGCACUGGGGAGCCAGGCAGCCCAUCUCCACCCCC